AUGUGCUUAUCACUAAAAAGAAGUCACUCAAACUAUUGUCACUGAAAUAACAUGAUUAAUAGCGAUGGUCACAGUUAAAACAUAUUCAGAUGUUGAAAGUGCUCUGUUUGUUUAUACCGUCCAGCUAAUCAGUGCACUGGAAAAGGAAGCCUCUCAGAAUGAACAGAAGGUGAAGACUUUGCAGGAGGAUGUAUCCAGACUUCAGGGGAUCGUAAUUCAGUUGGACCCCAUGGGCUACGACAAAAGGUACGAGUUCUUGUUGAUACUGACAAGAUGGCGGUAUCCUUCCUGGACACCAACAAAAUAGAAAUGUUGGGAACUGGAUGUAUUGCUGACAGCAAGCCACAACAUAGUGCUGGGUACAAGAGAAAGAUGUGGCCUGUAUUUGCAGUUUAUAGUAGCCGAAAGAGAGUUGAAAUGAAACUCGUGAGUGGACCAGAUCUACAGAUGGAAGACUGGAAAAAGAAGCUUCUCGAAGACGCCAUACAUGUGUACUGAAGGGAAUUGAUAUCGAGGCUACAGUCACAGCUCUACACUGGUAGACAUCAGGAUCACAUGAAGUUCACCUGUUUUUAGACAUUCGCUUAAAUGUUAAAUAUGUGCAGAGAUUACAUAUGGCCGUUCAGCAUAAUUGAUAGAGAAAUGUAUUCUAGCGUGUUCGAAGAAUAAGGAACUUGCUACAGGUGAUUUGUUUGAAAGUACAUUUGAUAGGAAAUUAGGUUAGAUGCAUUUGGAGAUGUUGAUGUGGGUUUGGUUCGGGAUAUUAUUGUUUUUUAUAAUUGAGUCUGUAGAUGAGGAUUUAAAUGUGAAUCUAUUUAAAAUGUGCAUAUAUCUGAAAUAUGAAUCUCUGAUUAUAAAUUUCUUUCUCCCCUCCCUCAGAUCCCCAGCCCCCCAAAGAAUUAAACGAAACAAUACUAGAAAGAUAAAUAAUAUGUUGGCUCGCAUAUGACAAGUAUGAAUCGCAUUUCGACUAUGUUGCAUCUUAAUCAUAUGAGUUGUGAUAAAUCACUUAAAGUCCAUAUCACAGCCGUAAAAUGCCUCUUGACCAAAAAGUAUUGGUUUCAAAGUUAAUCGAAUGAAUAUAGUCAAAUGUAUAAUCAAACCAAGAUCCAGGUUGUAAUUGAUUCAGGAUAGUAAUGGAUGCUAUCUCACAUGAAACCAUUUUGUCCUUUGAUCCGUUUGACCAUUAAAUACUUCUUGUAUCAUUUUGUUGUCGAUAAGGUAAUAAUAAAGAAAUAUGAACAUAAAAACACACACCAAAAAAUACAUUCGUGAGACAAGUGUGUGUCGAUGAGCCCGGAUUUGAGUGACAGAUGCAGAACGUCGCUGGUUUAUUUGUUGAUUUAUGUACCUACUCUCUGAUAAUACAAAUGAAUAAGAGAGUAAACGGGACCUUGAGAGGAUGCCAGAACAAGACAUUUUUAUAUAUCAGAGACGAUAUAGCGGAAGAAGUCAAAGUUCGAAAUCUUCCUUCGAAUACUUACGUUCAACUUCUGAGUCAAGACUGACGAUAUGAAUAGUUUGAUUUUAAUUGUAAUAACAAAUGUUUGUUUGAUAUGGUUGAUAUCUUUAAUGCUUUUGUUAGAGCCGAUUGUUGCUUUUGCUUUCAAAAUAGUAAACUGACGUCUUCAUUUUCACUUGACUGCCCAUGAAUCUUAUUACUAGUGAUCAAUGUUACGUUUUAGAUGAAGAAUUUACUUUACUGGAAAUUGUAGACAUCAUUAUUAUUCUAGGAAUCUCCAAACAGAAAUUCCUGAUGUUGUUGUACACGGAUACAUUCCAGUUAGUUUUGAGCUUUCUUUUUCUUUAUGCUUAUGAUAUAGAACCAUAUUUGUGCAAUAUGGCAGCGACUGUAUUAAACAUUACUUGUUUAUGUUGUAGAUGUUGCAUUUUAUUCAUUAGUAUUUUUGUAUGAACAGCAACAUUUGGGCGACACUUAAAAUAAUCCCACAGGAUUUACUAGAUUUCUGAAGAACGUAUUUUAUUUUGAGGAACCUAACCGUAAACACUGAUAAUAACAAAGAUCCAUAUUUUCUGUGAUAAUAAAAUUGAGAAAAGGAGUUAAUCUAUUUUUAGUUAUGUUUUUAUUUUAUUUUGUGCAUUAAUAUAAAUAGCUAGUGUUUAUUUCCAAAACAUUGAUAAAUUGUUUAGAUCUGUUAAAUGUACAUUUACCCAAUAUCUGUAUAAAAUGUCACCCCAUCUUUAAAACAACAGUAACAAAAAUACAUCUGUGUUGAUGUGAUGCAUGGCAAACUGAUUGAAAAGGUUCUAAUUCAGUUUCUUUGGGACAUAUUGUGAAUAAAAACGGUACACCUUUACAUGCCUUAUGUUGCACUUACGGAAUACCAUUUCAAUUGUUAAUACAAUUGUCAUGUCAAUUGUCAAGUUACGUUUGGAGAGAAAUUGUCAGUAAAAAAAGGAACCAUC